GAGUGGUAGUUCAGCUGGUUAGAAUGCUUGUCCCGAUUCAUCGGGAAGGUCGCGGGUUCGAGUCCUCCCGAUACUCG
rnacentral:tRNA from 1 species